UCCGCGGCGAGAGCGGGUCGCCGC
rnacentral:snRNA from 1 species